UUUCCAUUUUCUUUCAUUAUUGCCCCUCUCCCCUAACAAACUGGCCUCCAACUCAUUGUCAUUCUCGAAUAUCAAUCACCAUGGUUCAAUGCGACCUUUCAGUACUCGUCAGUUCCCAACUCCCCUAUAACCUAAUGUUCGUUUCAGGUUCCAUCAAUGGAGAUGAAUCUCAUCUCCCCUCUAGCCUGUUUUUCGAUUCUUACCUCAAUCGACCCGAUCUUGUGAGAUGGAUGGAUUGUUAAAAAAUCUAGGGUUCAAUGUCAGAACCGCACGAAGAUUCAGAAACAGAGUGGUUAUUGGGCGAAUUCGCGAGGUGGAAGUGCUGCUUGUGGGAUUGUAAGAUUCUCUACUAAAAGAUCCGGAGAGAUUGGUCGUCUUCCAAUGGAGUGGUCAAAGUGUUUGAUUCCGCUUGUUAAUUCAAAAAAGGUUAAAGUUCUUGGUAGAUGUGUGGCUGCACCAGCAAGUCUCAGCAUGAUGCAAGAGAUUAUGCUUUAUAUAAGCUUUUAUAUUCAUCAUUCGAUAUUCACUUCACUGAAGAUGGAACUUGUUCAUGGAAAAAUUGUCCAGUGUGGACUUCAGCUUUGCAUGCUUGAAAAAUGUUAUUUUCUCACGUGCUAAUCUUUGUCGUUCUAAAUUUCAGGAGGUAGAUACCGAAAAUACCAUUUUUCACGAUGCAACAAUGAGCGAGUAAGAUUUUAAUAAGCUGAUGGUUAUAAGCUUGAACCAUUGGGUGUUAAACGGGUCACUUUCAUGAACCUGGCUAACUGGAUCAAUUUCAAUAACCUGGUUCUAUGGUGUAUUUUCGCGAUCGUGGCAGCGACUUACCUACUAAAAAUAAUCCUCUACUUUGAAGCGGUCUGUCGCGAAAACUACCAUCCUAUUCGAGUAAACUUCUUUUUCGCUCCAUGGAUCACAUUACUUUUUUUAGCGAUUGGAGUUUCAUCAAAGGUGACCACAGAACUACCGCAUUUCCUAUGGAGGUAUAUCACAUCUUUCUGGGGAUCACGUAAACGAGCCAUUUAGAGGUGAAGAUGGAGUCUCAGGCGUGCUUCUACAUCACAAUUUGAACCUGCUCCCAGGAGAGGUGAACCUGAUGUAACUAGAAGAACCCCUGAUUAUUUUCUUCUGUAAAACGGAUGAUCGUGUGAGGACCUGAUGUAACUACAAGAACGAAUGCUCAUCGUGUACCGGACAUCGUUAUGAUGGUUUCCUGGUUCAAGUUACACUCUAACCUACGAUUUUGCUGUUGACUGUCCGACAAUGUAAUUUUUCAUUAUUUUGUUUGUAGGUUUUUGUGUGUAAUCUUAUGUAUAUGGACCUUGUUUCAUAUUCUUUUCUUUCGCCCACUUUUCUAUUAGUCCGACUAUAUUUUGGUGCUCACCACUUGAUCUAUUAGUACAGUCUUUUUAAUCAAUUUGUAGAAAUUUUAUGCUAACCCGUCUCUAGUUGCAUGUCUUCAAGUCGGUUUUUCGUCGACCACAUUGUUGUCAGGUUUGUUUCGUAAUAUUACUAUUAUUUUUAGUAUAAUUCUCGUAAGAAUAUGUUUGUAACACAUGGCAAGUUGGAGAUAUGUGAUUUAGAACUCAUUUAUAAUAUGCCAGCCAGCCUGUUUACAACUUGCUUGACUCGUUUACAUAAAUGGUUUAAACGUAUUGUGUUAAAAGUUACAUGGUUUGAAGUGUAUAUUAAUUAAGACUUGAUGCAUGCGAUAAAAUGGAAGCUCUGUUACAGCUAAAGAAAUGUGGGGUAAAAUGGAACAUGAUGGUCAUUUUGAUCAGGAUAAUUUCAAUAGUGGCCACACAGAUCCUUCAUCAGCUGGGGAUGCAAAUUGUGCCGCAGCGUCUGCUUCAACAUGGGUUGAACCAAAUGGGAAGGGCACUGUUGCAUGGUCUAUAGUGGCUUUCAUUAUAUAUGUUCAAGUUUGACAGUCGUGUCACACUAUGUGGCUUUCAUUAUAUCUGUUGAUCUAUAGUGCCCGCCGCUAACAACCGAGUUCCCAUUGCGUUAGAGUCCUCUAAAUCUUCAUUUUGUUCUCAUUUCAAGGUAGCUUUACUAAAAUCAUUAAUAUGUUUUUUGCUGACAUGUAACUAUGCAUGGUGUACACUGAUGUG